CCUACGGGAGGCUGCAGUCGAGAAUCAUUCACAAUGGGGGAAACCCUGAUGGUGCGACGCCGCGUGGGGGAAUGAAGGUCUUCGGAUUGUAAACCCCUGUCAUGUGGGAGCAAAUUAAAAAGAUAGUACCACAAGAGGAAGAGACGGCUAACUCUGUGCCAGCAGCCGCGGUAAUACAGAGGUCUCACGCGUUGUUCGGAAUCACUGGGCGUAAGGCGUGCGUAGGCUGUUUCGUAAGUCGUGUGUGAAAGGCGCGGGCUCAACCCGCGGACGGCACAUGAUACUGCGAGACUAGAGUAAUGGAGGGGGAACCGGAAUUCUCGGUGUAGCAGUGAAAUGCGUAGAUAUCGAGAGGAACACUCGUGGCGAAGGCGGGUUCCUGGACAUUAACUGACGCUGAGGCACGAAGGCCAGGGGAGCGAAAGGGAUUAGAUACCCUGGUAGUC
rnacentral:rRNA from 1 species